rnacentral:lncRNA from 1 species
UAUAUUCUAGUAAAUCAAGAAGAAAUUUGCUUAGUUUUAAAGAUAUUUGACUAAAUGGUUUUCAUAUUGAAACAACCAAUGAGAAUGAUAAUGAAUAUCUUCUGUGGCGACCCCAAAUCCGGAUACUUGAAACCCGAACUCGGUUCUCCACGAUACCAUUUCUUUAAGCUGAAUAAUACUAAAUAAUAAUACAUUCAAACUUAAUUUACAUACAUCAAAGUUUACUUCCCCAGGUACGUGACCUUCAAAUACAUUCCUUACAAUACCUGACAAUAGAUUCCAUUGUCUUACUAACUAUAACCAUUAACUCAUAAUAUAAACUCAUUCGAACAGCUUUCCUUUCCCCUUGUUCGUGCCUGAGCCUUCAGNNNN